CAGGCAUACUCAUUUCCAUCCCUCUUCUCUUUAACCUAAUUUUUUUUAUCUAUAUGUGGAGCUUAGCAGAAGAAGAACAAUGGAAAAUAGAAGUUGUAGAGCUUAGCAUAAGCAGAACAAUGGAAGAUGGAAAUGGAGGUUUUAUUCUUCAACUGUUGGAGGUUCUCUUCUUCAAUCUUUGAGGUUACAGCUGAAGAAACUACAAGUUUGAACUUUUGAGAUAUCAAUGGAUAAUUUAGAUAGAAGUUGGAUGAGUAUGAGAUGAUGCAGUGAUAAACAUAUUAGUGGAGUAAAUGAUUUUCUUGAUAAGACAUUUCAACGAGCUUCAAAAGGAAAUAAAAUAUUAUGCACUUGCAAAAAUUGCAUCAAUCGUUAUUGACAUUACAGAAAUGUGGUGGAGGAUCACUUGAUUGUAAAUGGAUUUAUGGAUGGAUAGAACAAAUGGAUUUUUC